AUUGAACGCUGGCGGUAUGCUUAACACAUGCAAGUCGAACGAUGAGAAAGAGCCUGCUCUUUCGAUUAGUGGCGGGCGGGUGCGUAGCGCGUAGGAAUCUACCUAUUAGUGGGGGACAACUUAGGGAAACUUAAGCUAAUACCGCAUACGCCCUACGGGGGAAAGAAGGGGAUCGCAAGACCUUUUGCUAAUAGAUGAGCCUGCGUAGGAUUAGCUAGUUGGUGGGGUAAAAGCUCACCAAGGCGACGAACCUUAACUGGUUUGAGAGAAUGAUCAGUCACACUGGAACUGAGACACGGUCCAGACUCCUACGGGAGGCAGCAGUGGGGAAUAUUGGCCAAUGGGCGGAAGCCUGAACCAGCCAUGCCGCGUGCAGGAAGACGGCCCUACGGGUUGUAAACUGCUUUUCCGGGGGAAGAAUAAUCCCGUCGUGACGGGAGAUGCCGGUACCCCGGGAAUAAGGAUCGGCUAACUCCGUGCCAGCAGCCGCAGUAAGAC
rnacentral:rRNA from 1 species